UACGUAGGGUGCAAGCGUUAUCCGGAAUUAUUGGGCGUAAAGAGCUCGUAGGCGGUUUGUCGCGUCUGCUGUGAAAACUGGAGGCUCAACCUCCAGCCUGCAGUGGGUACGGGCAGACUAGAGUGCGGUAGGGGAGAUUGGAAUUCCUGGUGUAGCGGUGGAAUGCGCAGAUAUCGAGGAGGAACACCGAUGGCGAAGGCAGAUCUCUGGGCCGUAACUGACGCUGAGGAGACGAAAGCAUGGGGAGCGAACAGG
rnacentral:rRNA from 1 species